GCAGUGGCUCUGGACCCCUCCUUCUGUGUGCUUCUUCCCUUCUCCAUCCCUGGUUAGGUAUCCAGGUUAAAAAAGGCGGGUCCAGGGCGCAGUAUUUAGCAAUGAAAAGUACAGCCUGUGAGACUCUCCAGAAAAUUAUGCUGAGUGAAAAGAGCUAAUCUCAAGAGGUUCCACGCUGUAGGACUAACUUUAUGUGACAUUCUUGAAAUGACAAAUUACAGAAAUGGAGCACAGGCUCCAGGACCCUGAGAUCAAGCCCAGAGCUGAGAUCAAGAGUAUGACUCAACCAGCUCAACCAGUUGGCCACCCACUUGCCCCUUGGGUUGUUUCUUAAACGACAUGGGAGUCUACAAUUUUCUGAAAAGAAAAAGCUUAAUCAAAGAAGAGGAAUGUUCAAGGCCAAGGAUAUCCCCUAGAAGGCAGAGAGGGAUGCCUGCCCCUCACUGCUGUGGUAAGAAGUGGCAUUCAGAGGACGCUGCUUCCUUGGAAAGUGUGUGGAGCUUGCUGAACGGGGAUUCCUGGACGCCAGCAGGCACUAAGGCAGUCCUUGGGGCAGAAAUGAGUCUUAGGAUGAGUUCCCAAGCAAGAAGCCAGCUGAGGACAAACAGGCAUGACAGGUGUGGCCUCCUGACCCUCUGUCUGCAAGUCUCAGCUCCAACCAGAACUUCAUUACAUUUUAUGGCUGAAUCAUAUGCCAUGACCCAUACCAGAACACAUUCUGUUUAUCCAAUCAUCUGUUCGAUACUUGGGCCGCCUGGCUGUUGUGAAUCAUCCUGCUGAAAAUAUUGCUCUACAAGUGUCUGAACCCCUGUUUUCAAUUCCUCUGCGUAUAUACCUAGGAGUGAAAUUGUUGGGUCUUGGGGUAAUUCUGUGUGGCUUUUUAAAGAGCUGGCCAACUUUUUUCUGUAGUGACUAUACCAUUUCACAUUCCCACCAGCUCUAUACAAGGGUUCCGAUUUUUCUACAUCCUAACUGUUUAUGUUCCUUUGAAAAAUGAUUAUAACCAUAAUGUUAACAAUGAAAUAUAAUUAUUUUACCAGUAAAAAUGGGUUUAUUUAGGAAUAACAGAGAAUUACAAAUUGGGACAUGCAAGCUAUGGCAAAGCCAUUGGCAAGUCCAAUAAACAAAGGAGAGGAAUGUUAUUUUAUGAAGAGGAGGGAGAAAAUUAGGAGGGAUUAUUUUGAGGGAAAGACUUUUGAAGAGCUAGAGUUCAGGGUGAGGAUGAUUUCUCAUUGGCUGAGUUGCGGGUGGGGGGGGCGGUGGUGAAUUUCCUGGAGGAGAUGCCGCAUACAUCUGU